CCUGAGGACAGGCAGAGCUGCAGACUUCCUGCCCCUGCUCUGCACUCUCAGGUGUUCCUUGUGUCACUCCCUGUUCUUGCCUCAUAAAGAUGGAUCCAGUUCCACAGGGCCACUGCCAUGGCGGCCAUCCUCCAGGCCCUGGUGGGCCCCACCCUGGCCAUGGCCCAGGACACCCUCCUGGGGCAUGCCCCAACCCAGGACCUGGUGGACACCCCCACGGUCAUGACCCACAUCACCCUCCUAAGGGAGGCCAUCCCCCAGGACCUGGUGGGCAUCCCCUGGCCCAGGACAUCCCCCUGGUCCACAUCACUGAGGAAACAGACGAAAAUAGGACACAAGAUGAGGAGCCUUCAUGGAUUGCCCUGCUGACCUGGAACCAGGCUGGAACCAGAAUCUUCUCUUCCUAAUAAACAGCCUCUAAAGGCUAUGUUCUAGUCUUAAAGAGCCUGUC
rnacentral:lncRNA from 1 species